rnacentral:other from 1 species
UAUUUUAAACCCACAUUAUUAAUAUGGGAUUACGCCCUCCCAAAGUGGUUUGCAGGCCUCCCGGCACUGCCGGACGUAUUCCGGGCAAUGCUGGACGUUGGAAGCAAUAAAGCUUUGGGGAGUAAACCCACCUGCUAGUCGUGCAGGUUUUUAAAAUUCGUUCACACGGCCAGUGUGGGGACAUC